AUUGAACGCUGGCGGCAGGCCUAACACAUGCAAGUCGAGCGAGCGGCGGACGGGUGUGUAAUGUAUGGGGACUGCCCGAUAUAGGGGGAUAACUACUGGAAACGGUAGCUAAUACCGCAUACUAUCGGAUAACCCAUAUGGGAUUAUCUAGUAUGUGAGGUAAAGGCUAAACAAGGCAACGAUCCGUAGCUGGUUUGAGAGGACGACCAGCCACACUGGGACUGAGACACGGCCCAGACUCCUACGGAGGCAGCAGUGGGGAAUUUUGGACAAUGGGGGAAACCCUGAUCCAGCCAUCCCGCGUGUAUGAUGAAGGCCUUCGGGUUGUAAAGGACUUGUGGCAGAGAGGCGGUAUCUGCAGAAUAAGCACCGGCUAACUACGUGCCAGCAGCCGCGGUAAUAC
rnacentral:rRNA from 1 species